AGUGAACGCUGGCGGUAGGCCUAACACAUGCAAGUCGAACGGCAGCACAGUAAGAGCUUGCUCUUACGGGUGGCGAGUGGCGGACGGGUGAGGAAUACAUCGGAAUCUACUUUUUCGUGGGGGAUAACGUAGGGAAACUUACGCUAAUACCGCAUACGACCUACGGGUGAAAGCAGGGGAUCUUCGGACCUUGCGCGAUUGAAUGAGCCGAUGUCGGAUUAGCUAGUUGGCGGGGUAAAGGCCCACCAAGGCGACGAUCCGUAGCUGGUCUGAGAGGAUGAUCAGCCAAACUGGACCUGAGACCCGGCCCAGACUCCUACGGGAGGCAGCAGUGGGGAAUAUUGGACAAGGGCGCAAGCCUGAUCCAGCCAUACCGCGUGGGUGAAGAAGGCCUUCGGGUUGUAAAGCCCUUUUGUUGGGAAAGAAAAGCAGCAGGUUAAUACCCCGCUGUUCUGACGGUACCCAAAGAAUAAGCACCGGCUAACUUCGUG
rnacentral:rRNA from 1 species